rnacentral:rRNA from 1 species
CCUACGGGCGGCAGCAGUGAGGAAUAUUGGUCAAUGGACGCGAGUCUGAACCAGCCAUGUCGCGUGCAGGAUGACGGCCCUAUGGGUUGUAAACUUCUUUUGUACGGGGGUAAAGCUCCGUACGUGUACCGUUUUGAAAGUACCGUACGAAUAAGGAUCGGCUAACUCCGUGCCAGCAGCCGCGGUAAUACGGAGGAUUCAAGCGUUAUCCGGAUUUAUUGGGUUUAAAGGGUGCGUAGGCGGAUCGUUAAGUUAGAGGUGAAAUCCCGGGGCUCAACCCCGGCAGUGCAUUUGAUACUGUGGGGCUAGAGUGCAGUAGAGGUAGGCGGAAUGUGUGGUGUAGCGGUGAAAUGCAUAGAGAUCAUACAGAACACCGAUUGCGAAGGCAGCUUACCAGACUACGACUGACGUUGAGGCACGAAAGCGUGGGGAGCAAACAGGAUUAGAUACCCGAGUAGUC